GACGAACGCUGGCGGCGUGCCUAAUACAUGCAAGUAGAACGCUGAAAGAGGAGCUUGCUUCUCCUGAUGAGUUGCGAAGGGGUGAGUAACGCGUAGGUAACCUGACUGGUAUCGUGGUAUGACUAUUGGAAACGAUAGCUAAUACCGCAUAACAGUAGAUAUCGCAGUAUAUCUGCUGGAAAUUUGGAAUUUCAUCACUACCAGAUGGACCUGCGUUGUAUUAUCUAGUUGGUGGGGUAACGGCUCACCAAGGCGAAGAUACAUAUGCGACAUGAGAGGGUGAUCGGCCACAGUGGGACUGAGGAACGGCCCAGACUCCUCCGGGAGGAAGCAGUAGGGAAUCGUCGGCAAUGGACGGAAGUCUGACCGAGCAACGCAGGGUGAGUGAAGAAGGUUGUCGGAUCGUAAAGCUCUGUUGUAAGAGAAGAACGAGUGUGAGAGUGGAAAGUUCACACUGUGACGGUAUCUUACCAGAAAGGGACGGCUAACUACGU
rnacentral:rRNA from 1 species